rnacentral:rRNA from 1 species
CUCUGGGUCCAACCUCUUUCCCCAUGUUUAUUGUACCUUGUUGCUUGGCGGGCCCGCCUCACGGCCGCCGGGGGGCUUCUGCCCUCUGGCCCGCGCCCGCCGAAGACACCAUUGAACACUGUCUGAAGAUUGCAGUCUGAGCAAUUAGCUAAAUAAGUUAAAACUUUCAACAACGGAUCUCUUGGUUCCGGCAUCGAUGAAGAACGCAGCGAAAUGCGAUACGUAAUGUGAAUUGCAGAAUUCAGUGAAUCAUCGAGUCUUUGAACGCACAUUGCGCCCCUUGGUAUUCCGGGGGGCAUGCCUGUCCGAGCGUCAUUGCUGCCCUCAAGCACGGCUUGUGUGUUGGGCCCCGUCCUCCUUCCCGGGGGACGGGCCCGAAAGGCAGCGGCGGCACCGCGUCCGGUCCUCGAGCGUAUGGGGCUUUGUCACCCGCUCUUGUAGGCCCGGCCGGCGCUUGCCGACAACCAUCAAUCUUUUUUCAGGUUGACCUCGGAUCAGGUAGGGAUACCCGCUG